UCUAACAAGAUGCAUGACUGACACUCCUCUCCAAUCUUUAUUUAUUUGUUUAUUAUUAAAAAGCUCCUCAGAUGUGUAUAAGCCAUCUGCUGUUCUCAGAUUUUCUGAGCCUUGGUAUAUUAUGCAUCUGCAAAGCAUUUUCAUUUAAUGCCAUUAACUACAGAAAUUUGAGAAUGAAAAUUUCCGGUAGAAAAAGCUGAUGCUUUCUAGACAUUUCUGAUUAUGGCCCUAUCUUUCCUCUUUUGUCCCCAACAGCUUUAUUCUGAUCAUUACAGCUAAGCUGCAGGCUGCUUUGGUGUGAUGAAUGACACUGGCCAAGCGACAGCAGCCAGGCUGGGUCAUUCCAACAUCUCUGGGCUACUUAUCCUGGUUAUUUCCUCAGCUCAGUGUGGAAUCUUCCACCUGGAGAUGGGGCCCUGGCUCAGCCACAGGACUGCAGAGCAGCCUGGGACCUGGAUCAUGGUGUGUUCAACAUCAUGGUCUAACAGUGCCAGGAUGGGCAGGACAGCAUGACAGCCUGUGAGGAGCUUCAGAUGAAGGAGGAUGCUCUGUCUGCUGGUGUUGGUGUCUGACAACAGCCCAAGGAGGGGUCACUCAGGUGAGCAUCCCAGCUGACUCCCAGCUACACACCUCCUAUCACAACUACAGUAAACUGAACUGAACCAUGCCUUAGCCCUGCCCCUUCCCCUCUUGCAAGGGCAAGGAAAGCCCACAACCCUUCCCUGGGCACAAGCAUCCUUGCAGACAGGAAUGUGAGGAAGCCCAGCCUGGGUCAGCUUCAUCCAGACCUGCCAUGCAGCUGGCAGUCAGCUGCCACCCUCCCCUGACUGCGUUUGCCUUCUGCCUGCUGAAAGCUGCUGUACUUUUCUACAAUCAUGAGCACGCUGAGCUUUGCUGGGACAGCUGCUGUAAUACAGCAGACACAUGGAAAUGAGAAGGAAUACAUCAGCACCAUGAAAGAAACUGGCCCUUAGCUCCUGGAUGGAAGCUGAAGCAAGACAUGGCAGCUGCAGCUGGUGAACUGUGUGUUACUUCAGGCACUGGACUUUCCAGCUGACCCUUGUUGUUGAUUUGGACAUGUACCUGUGGCUUUCAGUCAUCUGCCUGCCUGUCAGUGUCUGAAAGAUGGAAAUCCCAGCCUUGUGGAUGAGGAGGAGGAUGAAAUAGUUAUUCAUCAUUUGACCUUCAGUGUUAGGAAUCUCCUUCCACCAGUAAAAUUCCAGGAGAAUUCCUUAACUCUGCAGCAGUGAGCCUGCUGUGUAGCAGCAAUGCUGUAGGGCUCUUCAAGCCCCCAUGAGGGAAAAGUGGUGGUGAGGAGGCACCACUCUGAUGAGUAAUUCCACCAUACCAGGCCCCAUCACAUCACAGAAAUGUCUUUCUCUGAGGCAUUGGCCCUCUACCUGUGCAUUGCUCAGCUUCCCCCCUCCAUCAGUCAACCCCCUCAGCCCAUGGAGGGGAAGUCAUUGGUGCCACACAGCAAAGAUGUUAUUUCACUAAAGAAAAAGGUGAGACUGGAGCAUGUAACUUCUCAUUUGUGAAGUAUGAAAUCAAUUUUCACAUCAAACCCUGUAUGACUUGGGCUUGUCUUUACCUACAGCUACACCAGGGCUUCCCACUCACCUUGCAGGAGUAGCCAGGACCUGAUGCAGAUGUGUGGGGCAGAGUGAGCUAGACUCAUCUGAAGAGGCAGAUGAGAGUUACAGAAGCUGACAGGUGUAAAGCUGUGGAGAUUAUCCAAAUGUCUUGAUGGGUCCAGGUCUUGAUUUUUAUUACUAUUAGGGCUGGUUUCAAAGACAAUUUCCUAUAGCUGACCAGGGUUGCCCAAAUAAGCACAUGCAUUAAUCAUGCUGUGUUCAAGGUACAGGUGCAUUGUAGCACCAGACUUAAUUUUACUGUACCAAUAGUCUGUAUAUUCAUACUGGAAAAAUCAAGGGUUUUUUUUGCAGCUGGAUCAAAGCUAAUACUCUAAUAUUAAUAAUGAAACCAAGUGGUGCAAUUUCUGGGCAGGGGUAAAUGACCAUGAAGUAACCCUACACAAAGGAUCCCCAUAAUUUAAAUUCAGUUUCGCUAUAUUAUACUCUUUACAACACCUUUUAUUUGCAGUGUGGUUUUUGCCAAAGUCUUUUUUUCUGCUUCAUAAAAACAUUUAAUAAAUUCUUCUGGGUUUUGUUUGAUGUUGGAAAAAUAACAGCAAACCUACAUAGCACAGAGUUUUGGGGAGGGCAAUAGGAGGUCAUGAGGUGUAACUGCAGCAGGCACACGGAGUACUGGUGGUCACUUUUUGACUAAGCACUGAAGUGAAUGCAAAGCUGGGGAGCCUGAGGACUGUGUCAGAUUUCCUUAUAGUGUUUUCAAUCUUCUUUAAGGGUUUGAAAGCACUCUAAACUACAAUGAAGACUAGUUUCUACUUGAAUCUUUUAACCUAUUCCAUGGGUGGUUUUGUGGCUUAUAGUGGUUUUUGUAUGUUUGUUUGUUUGUUUUGGUGGGUUUUAUUUUCUUUUUGUUUGGAUUUUUUAAACAUCUUUUACUUUUCCCCUGAGGGAAAAAGAGACAUAGGUAAAACCCAGUCCUAUAAAUGACAAGUUAUUUUUUGUUCCUGAACUCUUCUCUGCUUAAUUAGUUUAUGCAGCUGAAAAUGAAAAAGAAAACUCCAUGCCCUACAGCUAUAUGUGCUCAUGUAUAGCACCUAAUAUCUUAAAUCCCUUCAUGUGUCUCUAAAGGAUACCUAUUAGAGUUGUGUGUGGAAAAAACAGCACAAUCUGCUGCAUAUAAUUCUCACACUUUAAAAAAUAUUUUUUAUAUAAGUGGGCAGCUUUACUGUCAGCCUGCACUGGCAUAUUUUUUCUCAAUUGCCUCUUCCCUCUUAAUAUAGAGUGCCUUUCUUAUGCCUUCUUGUCUGAUAUGUUUUUCAAAAUUCUUGUCCCUGGCCUGUGCCAGCCUUGCCAGGACUCAGAGCCAGCCUGACUGAAAACCAUUCUGAGGUUUUGUGGCAAUGCCACAGCCAUGGUGGGUGAGGGCUCGUGCCUGAAGCCCCGUCCUCAUUGCUGCUCUGGGUGAUGCACAGCCUGAACAGCUGCUGUGCCCUCAUCUUUGCCAAGCACAGCUGUGGGCAGACGAUGGCCCCCCUCUCCAGACUAGACUUUGGGGAAAAGGCGAAAAAUGAAGGAAUUUGAUGACAGCACAAAUUUGCACUUGGAUUGAGAUACAGCCUUGGUCCUUUGUCUUUGCAGCAACAUGAGCAUCUGGAGUCAAUGGAAAUUGAAUCCAGAAGGUGGUUGGGAACUACUACUAUGGCUUCCAUGCUUGGUAGUCAGCAGCACUGCUAAAUGCAAUAAGCCAAACAUUCAGUUUCUGUGAGCAAGUGCAACAUAGCUAUUAUUGUUCUCUUUCCACAAUGUGUGAUACCAAGAGAUUAAAUAUGACAGUGCAAGUCCCACAGCAUCACAGGCACAAUACCAUGAGGGCCAUGAGGCUGAGGUCUCAGCAGCAGCGGCGCUGUUUCAGAGAAGUCCAAGUGUCUGUGUUCCCUUAAAGUGUUUGUGGCAAAUCUAGGCUAGCAGAACACCUUGCAUUCUCCUAGCAUAAAGAGAAAAGUCCUGCAUUUUCUUCUUUUCCAGUUAGGCUUGCACUAACUGGUAACACAGAGUAAUAUCUGUGUUCAAAUAAACAGCCACCUCUACAGAGGAAGUUGAAUCUUCAUUCUUCUCCAGAAGGACAAAGACAGAAGUACAUACCAUUAAUUACUGGUGCAAUGGCCCAAGCAAGUUUUCAUAAUUUGUUUUAAAUGUCAUUAUAGGGGAUGUGAGUGCUUUCAGAAGAUCGCUUUUGGAGUGUGUGUUCCAGUCAUCUCCAGGAUGUCAUCUGUAUGUAAUUUGGAAGCAAAAAUUGUAUUUAUUAAGGACUCCCCACUUCCAAUAUGCUGCCUAAUGUUAUGCAAAAUUAUAUGUCACUCAGAGCAGAUUGAGAGUUGUAAUAGCUACACUGGAUGAACAGAACAGAUCUCAAAAGAUGCUCAGAAGAUGACCAUGCUCUGAAUUUUCUGCAGCCAAGUAUGCUUUAUUGAAAGAUCAGGGAAGUAAAAUCAGAGUAUUGGGAAGUACAUUUGUUCCUCAUUCCUCUGACUUUGGGGUGGACUGAGAUGCCCAAAUUAACAGCUUGAUUAUCACAAACCUCAUACAAAAGCAAGAGAGACACAGCUCCUUUCCUCCUGCUCCUUUGCUAAUGUUAGGCCUCUGGACUGCUAAACUUCAAUAUUUUGUAUAAAGAAAUGCCCAAGCUUAUUUCUGUUCAUGCACGAGCUAUCUGAGUCUAACCCAUUCAUUUUAACAAACAUUUUCUCCAAAGUAACUUUAGUGUAGCUAAGAGUCUGGCCAUCACCUAGCUGACUGUGCACUCCAGGUCACAUCAAUUCAGCUUCCCCUUCUACUUUGUAUAAUUUAUUCUAAUGGAAAAAUGUAACCUGGUCUUUGUAUGUGAACUCUUGACUCAAAUGAAAAUCAUAUUCUACUGAGGUUCUGGGUGUUUUUUAUCUUCUCACUUUAAGGUCAUGGUAAAAUCCAAAUUCAGUAAUUAAAUGUAUGCUAUAUACAUCCAAGACUGUAAUUUCAUGUUAGUUAUCCAGUUGUAACUAAACAUUAUGUCUUCUUGUUAAAGAGGCAAAGAGAUACUUCCUGGAGGGGAUAACAGCAUGUUCUUCCAGAUAAUGGCAACCUUCUGAAACAAGCUAAACACAGAAACUCCACAGGAGGUGGCAUUUAUGGGCUAGUACCAGGUCAAUAUUGAAUUAUAUGUUAUGUUAGCAAUAUAUUUGCAGUAAAGGUGCAAAUUCAACUGUUAAAAGGAGAUGUGUUUUACAGCACUUUGUCUUUAUAUAUAAUUCAAAGAUUGAUUUGCCACUCUGCAAUGAUUGAUCCCAGUGGGAAUUCUGACAUUUCAGCAAUGUAUACCAAUAACUCAGAUGUGCUACUUUUUUCCUCUGCUGUAUUUCUGACACAGCACUGAGUGUGGUGGUGUUUCCGUCAGUAACCAUGAGGUGGCACAACGUGCUCAGCAGAACAGCAGCCAAAACUUCCUUUUAGUAUUCCUUUGUACAUCAUAUUUCUUGGCAUAUUAGGUUUUAAUGGGGAAAGGCAGGCUGUAAAAUUAGUUGAGCUUUCAUAAACCAUACUCUAUUAGAAAAGCAAUGACAGAGAUAUGUAUUUGUGUGCUUGUAUUUUGUGAUGCUUUUCAUUCUAAUAAAUAAUAAUUUUGAACAUUCUGCUACAGGGUGAUGUUAAAAAUAAAGAUCACUGUUCUUUUCC